GUGUCAGCAGCCGCGGUAAUACAGAGGGGGCAAGCGUUAUUCGGAAUUAUUGGGCGUAAAGGGCGCGUAGGCGGCUUGGCAAGUGGAUGGUGAAAUCCCUCGGCUUAACCGAGGAACUGCCAUCCAGACUGCUUUGCUUGAGGCCGGGAGAGGUGAGUGGAAUUCCCAGUGUAGCGGUGAAAUGCGUAGAUAUUGGGAGGAACACCAGUGGCGAAGGCGGCUCACUGGACCGGUUCUGACGCUGAGGCGCGAAAGCGUGGGGAGCAAACGGGAUUAGAUACCCCGGUAGUCCACGCCGUAAACGAUGAGUGCUUGGUGUAGCGGGUAUCGACCCCUGCUGUGCCGAAGUCAACACAUUAAGCACUCCGCCUGGGGAGUACGGUCGCAAGGCUGAA
rnacentral:rRNA from 1 species